CGCCCUGCCUGCUUCGCCCCUGCCCGCGCCCGGCCGCCGGCCACGCCCUGCCCGCUUAGCUUCGAUUUUGCCUGCCGAGGUGGUUGAACAAAGAUGGUGGGUAACCGUCAGAGGAACGUGUUCUCGCUUUACCAGAGUCACAGUCGCUGUUCUCUUACGAUGCACUUGUGUUACUUAUUUGGACUUGUGAUGGACUUGUGGAUUUAUUUAGAUGGACUUGUAAUGAACUUGUGGAUUUGUACUUAUGGAUUUGUUUAAAUGUGACAUUUAUAUGAUGUGCAUGAUAUUUAUGUGAUGGAUGUAAGAUUUAUGUGACAAAUAUGAGAUAUCUUUGAAGAA